AACCGGCGCACGGGUGAGUAACACGUAGGUAACCUAUCCUCAGGUGGGGAAUAACCCCGCGAAAGCGGGGCUAAUACCGCAUAACGCAACGAGACCACAUGAUCUUGUUGUUAAAGACCCGCAAGGGUCGCCAGAGGUUGGACCUGCGGCCGAUUAGCUAGUUGGCGGGGUAAUGGCCCACCAAGGCAACGAUCGGUAGCCGACCUGAGAGGGUGAUCGGCCACACUGGAACUGAGACACGGUCCAGACUCCUACGGGAGGCAGCAGUGAGGAAUAUUGGUCAAUGGGCGAAAGCCUGAACCAGCAACGCCGCGUGAGGGAUGAAGGUCUAAGGAUUGUAAACCUCUGUUAGGAGGGACGAAUAGUUCCGUAACGAACUUACGGGAUUUGACGGUACCUCCAGAGAAAGCCCCGGCUAACUCCGUGCCAGCAGCCGCGGUAAUACGGGGGGGGCAAGCGUUGUCCGGAAUUAUUGGGUGUAAAGGGUGCGUAGGCGGAAUGGUAAGUCAGAAGUGAAAUACUCGCGCUUAACGCGGGCUCUGCUUUUGAUACUGCUGUUCUUGAGUGCAGAAGAGGGAAGCGGAAUUCUCGGUGUAGCGGUGAAAUGCGUAGAUAUCGAGAAGAACACCAGUAGCGCAAGCGGCUUCCUGGUCUGUAAC
rnacentral:rRNA from 1 species